rnacentral:rRNA from 1 species
AGCGAACGCUGGCGGCAGGCCUAACACAUGCAAGUCGAACGAAGUCUUCGGACUUAGUGGCGGACGGGUGAGUAACACGUGGGAACGUGCCUUUAGGUUCGGAAUAACUCAGGGAAACUUGUGCUAAUACCGAAUGUGCCCUUCGGGGGAAAGAUUUAUCGCCUUUAGAGCGGCCCGCGUCUGAUUAGCUAGUUGGUGAGGUAAAGGCUCACCAAGGCGACGAUCAGUAGCUGGUCUGAGAGGAUGAUCAGCCACAUUGGGACUGAGACACGGCCCAAACUCCUACGGGAGGCAGCAGUGGGGAAUCUUGCUCAAUGGGCGAAAGCCUGACGCUGCCAUGCCGCGUGAAUGAUGAAGGUCUUAGGAUUGUAAAAUUCUUUCACCGGGGACGAUAAUGACUGUAGCCGGAGAAGAAGCCCCGGCUAACUUCGUGCCAGCCGCCGCAGUAAGAC